rnacentral:rRNA from 1 species
CACGUAGGGGACGAGCGUUGUCCGGAUUCAUUGGGCGUAAAGAGCUCGUAGGCGGUCUGUUGCGUCGGCUGUGAAAACCCGGGGCUCAACUCCGGGCCUGCAGCCGAUACGGGCAGACUAGAGUUCGGCAGGGGAGACUGGAAUUCCUGGUGUAGCGGUGAAAUGCGCAGAUAUCAGGAGGAACACCGGUGGCGAAGGCGGGUCUCUGGGCCGAUACUGACGCUGAGGAGCGAAAGCGUGGGGAGCGAACAGG